GGUUGGUCAUGGCGUCGUGCACGCAGACCCGCAGCUCCCGUUGGCAUGGCCUGGUAGUCGUUGUCGUGGUCUUGGAUGACGGUGGUUCACCAUCUUGCUUCCAGCGCUGACGAGACAAUGGGUUUGUCGCCAGUAAUCUCAGCGUCGGCUCCCACGACUGCCUCCUCGGCUACCACUACUUAGGUGAGUCGCUGGUCUCUCCUUUCUCCUGUCUGUUCUGGAAUCUAGCCUUCGUGCUAUGGCCGUACUUUGCAGUUAUUUCAUUGCAUAUCUGGUAGUUUCAAACAUCGUGCAGUAUGUGCCAAUCUCUUCCGCCUCAAUUUUAUUGGCAUGAAAGAAUAAUUUGAUAGCUUUGAUUCAUUUGAUCAAUUAGACCUCUGUUGUCAAAUAGAACAGUGUGCACUUAGUUAAGUUUCUAAUAUUGCUGCUGCCCUUUUGGUUUAGGAUAUUUUUGGGUCCAUUGAGUUUAUAUGAUCUUUUGACAGUCUGGCGCAGUGGAGAGAAUCUGCCAAGAGGUCCUGGGUUCGGCGCAGUCCCUCUGCAUUGCACUGUCCAGGGGUAAGGCUUGCCUCGUAUGACUCCAUUGGCUUAAGGCGUCCGGAAUCGGGCGCUAUGGCGGCUGGUGAGGAGGUGGCUGCGGGGUGAAGUUUCCAGAAAAUGUAGCUGAUUCUUUGAGGUCAUCCAACCUUCUACAACCUCGGCUUCUCAACCGCCGCAGUGGGGGCCACCUCUUCCUUGGUUCAGGUGAGUCCUUGGUCUCUUUCUCUCUGAGAUUGUACAGCCGUCGAGUUUGGUAGACUGUUGUGCUGGCCAUGGAGCUGAUGAUUUUGUGUUUGGAUUUGAGGUGGUGGUCUUCCGGCCACCACAAUCUUGUGAUUGUGAUAUGAUAAAUCUUGUUGGUCGAUGAGGUUAGGCCCCUUUUCUACUGCACGGUGCUGUUGCUACAGGGUUGAUAAUGGUCCAUGUUUAGUUUAAUAGGAUCAAAAUGAUAUGGUUUUAACUUGUUAAUGGAUAUCACAUAGUCCCUCUGUGUAGGGCUGUAGGCAUUGACGGUCACGGUCCAUUGUGCUGGUGACUAGCGUUUUAUAUUUUGGAGUUAUUUACCUAAAACCACCACACUUGAGGCUAGGGAAACAGGUCGAAACAGCGGAUUUGACCGGUUGGCCCCACCUGCCAGGCCGAUGUGGCAUGUCGGCAUGUACAAAUUGCUGAGGUGGACGCGGGUCCAACUGUAGCCCCCACCUACUUCUUCCUCC
rnacentral:lncRNA from 1 species